UAGGUGUAGGUGUACAAGAGGUGUCCACUGCUUUACAUAAAUAAAUACUUUGUGUACAAUUCAACAUCAACGCAGAUCUAAACAGAGAGCUUUACAACACGCAUCGUGUGCUAAAAUUCUUUGUUAUUUUGGUGCACAUAGAAACAAGAAUGACAAAAUACAUGCAAUUUGUUCUAUUGAUUUGUCUUAUUGGAUUUGCCCUCGGAAAUAGUAAUGAUAAUGCAGGGUGCAAUGUUGUAUCAGAACAACCCGGAGGACAUUUUGAGCUUAGUCAAGAGCAAGAACAAGAAAUAGUAAAAAGUAAAAGGUACAAAAAUGGAAGACGGGUGCCACCCACUGGUAGAUAACCAAGCCCGACGUCACAGAAUAAGACAUUGCAGAUUGUAGAUUGUAGAUUGUGUUGAUAGAUGAAAAUAGAUUACUGAAAC